rnacentral:rRNA from 1 species
GCCUACGGGGGGCAGCAGUCGAGAAUCAUUCACAAUGGGGGAAACCCUGAUGGUGCGACGCCGCGUGGGGGAAUGAAGGUCUUCGGAUUGUAAACCCCUGUCAUGUGGGAGCAAAUUAAAAAGAUAGUACCACAAGAGGAAGAGACGGCUAACUCUGUGCCAGCAGCCGCGGUAAUACAGAGGUCUCAAGCGUUGUUCGGAAUCACUGGGCGUAAAGCGUGCGUAGGCUGUUUCGUAAGUCGUGUGUGAAAGGCGCGGGCUCAACCCGCGGACGGCACAUGCUACUGCGAGACUAGAGUAAUGGG